AUGAACGACCUAAGAUCAGAGUCGCCACUUCAAUUCAAGUUCUCGCAAAACACGCUGUUCGCGGAACUCAUUACCAUACUGCAUUUACCUUCAAUUAACAUUGAAGGAAACAGAAAAUUCACCCCGUUUAAGCUCAAGAACGACGACGAUUUAGAGGUUAUGUGGAAUAUCUUUCAACAAUACUCUUCUAAGAAUCUGAUUGAGAUGGAUGCAAAGCUUCAAAGAUCGGCAAAAGAUGUUUUCAAAAUGUUACAACGUCUUCAACUGCCCGUUUAUAACAAUAUGUAUCUUUAA